rnacentral:misc_RNA from 1 species
GAUGAAGAACGUAGCGAAAUGCGAUAAGUAGUGUGAAUUGCAGAAUACAGUGAAUCAUCGAAUCUUUGAACGCACAUUGCGCCCGGCAGUACUCUGCCGGGCAUGCCUGUUCGAGCGUCAUUUCAACCCUCAAGCCCUGCUUGGUGUUGGGGUCCCACGGCCGCCGUGGGCCCUGAAAGGAAGUGGCGGGCUCGCUACAACUCCGAGCGUAGUAAUUCAUUAUCUCGCUUAGGGCGUUGGGCGGCGCUCCUGCCGUUAAAGAACCAUCUUUAACUCAAGGUUGACCUCGGAUCAGGUAGGAAUACCCGCUGAACUUAAGCAUAUCAAUAAGCGGAGGA